rnacentral:rRNA from 1 species
UACGUAGGGUGCGAGCGUUAAUCGGAAUUACUGGGCGUAAAGCGUGCGCAGGCGGUCGUUCAAGUCGCGUGUGAAAGCCCCCGGCUCAACUGGGGAGGGUCACGCGAUACUGAUCGACUCGAAGGCAGGAGAGGGUAGUAGAAUUCCCGGUGUAGUGGUGAAAUGCGUAGAUAUCGGGAGGAACACCAGUGGCGAAGGCGACUACCUGGCCUGUUCUUGACGCUGAGGCGCGAAAGCUAGGGGAGCAAACGGG